rnacentral:rRNA from 1 species
CCCUUAGAUGUUCUGGGCCGCACGCGCGCUACACUGACGAAGUCAGCGAGCAUCUCCUACGCCGAAAGGUGCGGGGAAUCUUGUGAAACUUUGUCGUGCUGGGGAUCGAUUUUUGAAAUUCUUGAUCAUCAACGAGGAAUUCCUAGUAAGCGCAAGUCAGCAGCUUGCGUUGAUUACGUCCCUGCCCUUUGUACACACCGCCCGUCGCUACUACCGAUUGAAUGGUUUAGUGAGAUUUUUGGACUGGAACUCUCUUGUUCAGCAAUGAACGAGAGGGACUCUGGGAAGCUAUUCUAACUGUAUCAUUUAGAGGAAGUAAAAGUCGUAACA